rnacentral:rRNA from 1 species
GACGAACGCUGGCGGCGUGCUUAACACAUGCAAGUCGAACGGAAAGGCCCUGCUUUUGUGGGGUGCUCGAGUGGCGAACGGGUGAGUAACACGUGAGUAACCUGCCCUUGACUUUGGGAUAACUUCAGGAAACUGGGGCUAAUACCGGAUAGGAGCUCCUGCUGCACGGUGGGGGUUGGAAAGUGUCGGCGGUUGGGGAUGGACUCGCGGCUUAUCAGCUUGUUGGUGGGGUAGUGGCUUACCAAGGCUUUGACGGGUAGCCGGCCUGAGAGGGUGACCGGCCACAUUGGGACGGAGAUACGGCCCAGACUCCUACGCGAGGCAGUGGUGGGGAAGAUUGCAUAGUGGGCGGAAGCCUGAUGCAGCAACGCCGCGUGCGGGAUGACGGCCUUCGGGUUGUAAACCGCUUUCGCCUGUGACGAAGCGUGAGUGACGGUAAUGGGUAAAGAAGCACCGGCUAACUACGUG